rnacentral:rRNA from 1 species
CCCUAUGGGGUGCAGCAGGCGCUCGCGAUGCGAUGAAAGCCAUCCUUGAAACGAUUGAAAAAGAUGCCAUUACUGGUGUGAUCGUCACCCAGACCGGAUGCAUCGGUCUAUGCGAAAAAGAACCGAUUGUGCAGGUGAUCGUUGGCGAGCAACCCAAAGUGACCUACGGAAAAGUAACCCCUGAAGUUGCCCGAAAGAUCGUUAAAGAACAUGUUGUGGAUGGAAAAGCAGUUACCAGCAACGUGAUUAAUAUCUAACAAAUCAAAAUUUACAAAAGGCCGAAUGUUAUGAAGUAUUACCGUUCACAUGUGUUAGUUUGCGUAGAUCCAGAAUGUUUAAAAAAGGGCGCUCAUGAAGUCAUGGACGCGCUGCAGGAUGAAUUGGCGGGGGAGCC